UUAAACCUCAAGAAUCCACCAAAACAUUAACUAUGCCUUCUUCUUCUGUUACACUCCUCUCCCAAUGCACAAUCUACCCAGAUAAAAAAUCCACCAUUAAAUCUCUCAAACUCUCCGUCUCUGAUCUCCCCAUGCUUUCCUGUCACUACAUCCAAAAGGGUGUUCUCCUCACUCAACCCCCUUACUCCAUUGAUGAUUUCAUCGACUCACUCAAGCACUCCCUCUCCGUUGCUCUCUCCCACUUCCCUCCCCUCGCCGGUCGUUUCUCCACCGGCCAUGACGGCCAUGUUCGUAUUCUCUGCAACGAUGCCGGAGUCCAAUUUGUCACUGCCACCGCUCCCCACAUCACCCUCCACUCCAUUCUCUCCCAUACCGAUGUACCUCCCUGUGUCAAGGAUUUCUUCACCUUCGACUGGCUCAUUAGCUACUCCGGCCACUCCAAACCCCUCGCCGCCGUCCAAAUCACUGAGCUUACCGACGGAGUCUUCGUCGGAUGCACCGUCAACCACGCGGUCACCGACGGAACUUCUUUCUGGCAAUUCUUCAACACCCUCGCUGCAAUCUGUAAAGGCUCCCAGAAGCUUCCCAAGGCCCCUGACUUCUCACGCGACACCGUUUUUGACUCCCCCGCCGUCCUGAAGUUCCCUACUGGUGGACCCACUGUAACUUUCAAUGCAGCCGAGCCUUUGCGUGAGAGGAUUUUCCAUUUCAGCAAGGAAGCCAUUGGAAAGCUUAAAUACAGAGCUAACAGGGGUGAGUUAAUUAGUCAGGAAAUACUAGGAAAGCAAGGCAACGACAGUUGGAAAACCGUUAAUGGCGACACUAACGGAAAGAUAACGUCCGUUACGGGUAAUGGCAAUGUUCUCAAUCGGACGGACGAGAUUUCGUCUUUCCAGUCACUCAGCGCACAGUUGUGGCGGUCCGUAACGCGCGCAAGGAAGCUCGAUCAGACCAAAACGACGACGUUCAGGAUGGCCAUAAACUGCCGGCACCGGCUGGAGCCACGGCUGGACCCGUACUAUUUCGGUAACGCGAUACAGAGCAUUCCGACUUAUGCUUCGGCCGGCGAGCUGUUAUCUCGGGAUCUGGGAUGGGGAGCCGAUCUGCUGCAUAAGAACGUGGUGGCCCACGAUGACAAAACGGUGCGUAGAGGGGUUGAGAAUUGGGAGAAACAGCCUAGGUUGUUUCCGCUUGGG
rnacentral:lncRNA from 1 species